rnacentral:rRNA from 1 species
CCUACGGGAGGCAGCAGUGAGGAAUAUUGGUCAAUGGGCGCGAGCCUGAACCAGCCAAGUCGCGUGAGGGAAGCCGGUCCUAUGGAUUGUAAACCUCUUUUGUCGGGGAGCAAAAGACGCCACGCGUGGCGUUCCGAGAGUACCCGAAGAACAAGCAUCGGCUAACUCCGUGCCAGCAGCCGCGGUAAUCCGGAGGAUGCGCGCGUUAUCCGGAUUUAUUGGGUUUAAAGGGUGCGCAGGCGGAAGAGCAAGUCAGCGGUAAAAGUGAGAGGCUCAACCUCUUCGAACCGUUGAAACUGGUUGUUUGAGUGAGUGAGAAGUAUGCGGAAUGCGUGGUGUAGCGGUGAAAUGCAUAGAUAUCACGCAGAACUCCGAUUGCGAAGGCAGCAUACCGGCGCUCAACUGACGCUCAUGCACGAAAGUGUGGGUAUCGAACAGGAUUAGAUACCCCAGUAGUC